rnacentral:tRNA from 1 species
GAGGGUAAAGCUCAGUGGUAGAGCACAUGCUUAGCAUGCAUGAGGUCUUGGGCUCAAUCCUCAGUACCUCCA